ensembl:lncRNA
AUGAGGGUGACAAUCACAAAAGUGCUGCCCUCUUCUUUCUAUAUUCCUGCAGAAUCUGAGAAUUUUCAAUAUUCCCAAGCACAGAUUUGGCAACAUUACAUCUUUAUGACUGAAAAAACUAAGUUAAUUCUGACCCACAACCCACCCCCGCAGGAAAAAACAAACCAACCAAAGGAAACAACUGCAUGGAGGAGAGGACAUGGAUCCAUACAAGCAAAGGAGAAGGUGACAAAGGUGGAAAGAAAUGUCCUCCUUAGAGAUAUUUGACUACCAUCAUAUGAUGAAGUUUCUGAGUCUUAGCUGUAAAAUCCCUGCCCUUCCUUUUCCCUCCUGAUACCUGGUGAGAAAAAUACCAGAAAUCCUUGAUUUGUUUCCCAUCUCAAGGCCAUACCUCUGCAAUAUACUUAAACAAUAUUAGGAUUCUUCAGGUUUUGAGUUAGUGGGACAUGAAAGAUUUUUUUUUCUUGCUGUUAUUCCUGGAGUAUAAAACAUAAGGAUACAAAAUUACAUAGUUGGAAUCUCAAAAAUAAUGUAGAACUGUAGGGAAUAUAUCCCUCAUAUCAUGCUGCCUCAAUUCCAGGCAGGUUGCAGUGUGCAUCCAGGGCUCUCUCCUUGUAGGCCCUAUAGAAAUCCUGAAGAAAUUAUUAAAAUCUUUUUGUUUGACACAAAAAAGCUGCAGGGUACAAAGCAUAAGAAGCUAAAUGGAAAGAGACAGGUAGGCUGUGUGGGCUCUUUUGUCUUUCAUCCCUCUGAAUAAUAUAUCCAGCAGUAGAUGUGUAGACAUGCCAAAUGAAAUAAUAAUAUAGUUAUUUUGGAAUUAGGGAAAGCUCCAGUUCUUAAGACUGAGAACUGACAGAAAGACAAGAAACAGCAGAGGUUGUAUUAGUCUUGCAUAUAAUAUUCACUUAAAAGCACAAAGAGUUAAUCUUAUCAUCCUACACAUGGUUGCAUUUAUAAAAGAUAAAAAUCACAAACAAGUAAUGCACAGUUACUUGUUACAUAUUCUUCCCAUUACAGUUGACAGGUUCAUUAAUCAUACAGUGUAUUUUACUAUUAGAAGCUGUAAAGAAGAUCAAAUCUCUUGUAAUUUUUCUUCUUCUUUUCCGUUUGAUAAGUGUGUUGUUGCAAUGUGCAGAUAAAAUAUAAUGUCAGUCACAAACUGUCCCAAGGGAAUUGCAACUCUCCAGUUAGAAAAUUCAUCCUUAUUUGCAAUGUAAAAUUCCAAGGAAAAUGCAUCAUUUCCUUUUUAGCCUGACCAUCAGAUUGAGUAAAAUGCAUAUGCCUGGGUAUUCACAAAAGAAGCAAUCCACAAUGUACUGCCUGUGGAUAUGAGCAAUGUUUAACUAAUAGAAAUAUUGCUUACUGCAUGUUGAAAGCAUUAACUAUGAAUACCCCUAUUCAUAACAUCACAUUGAUUCAUAAUUAAAGCCCUGUGAAAAUUAUAGAGAAAGUUGACAUGUUUCACAAGCUGUUCAUGGUAAAUGUAGCAAAUUUUACAGUUUGUUGUGACUUGCCAAUAAAGAAAUCUCAGGGAGAAAGAUUAAAAAAUGA